CCUUCCUUCAUCUUGGCCGUCCAGUGCCUUGUACACGUUCUUCUUCUUGGCUGACUUUUACCAGAAUGAGUGAUCCAGCUUCUUAGAAGAGGUUGCUGCCAGCAUUACAACAGCUAAUGAAUAUGGGACCCCUCUCACUCUUGCUCUUCAGGGACCACUCGUGUAAUGAGCCAGGCACUUUUCCAAUCAGAGGGACUGUUAAGAUCUCUGACAACAGAACCUGUCAUUGUUUGAAGAGCAGAUUUCCACAGUGACCUGUACGCUUGGUGAUCCAGGCUUCUAUGAAAGGGAUUGUCCGAGAAACAACAAUCGCCCAGAUGAAUGUGAAAGCAAAGGUCAUGAUUUCUGCUUUUGUCAUCCUGAGUGAGGCCGAGGGACGGCUGAGGUUGCCACGACAGCACCUGCACCAGGAGGGAGACCUGGAAUAGACUCUCCUGUGGAACCUUCAGAAGGAAUCACCUGCUGACACCUGGAUCCGGGGCUGCUCCAGAGCCAUGAGACACUAGAGUAUGUGGUUAUUUCCUGGUCACCUGGCUGUCUAGCUGAUAUCCGGGGAACUGAAAAGCCCCACAGGAACAACUAUGAAACAGACUUCAGGGGAAAUUUAUGGCUUCCGUUUUCUUUGAUUGAAACCAAAGAGAAAAGUUAGUAGGUUUUGGAUCUUCGCUUUUAAACUGGUUCAUCAUUACCCUUAACUUCUUCUCUAAGAAGCAAGUCAUUUGGACUCUUUCAGAAAUGGAACUGUGGCCACCCCCAGCUCCCAGCUUAUCCAGUUCGCUUGAGUUGAGUGAAUUGUCUGCCUCCUCAGGGAGGGCCUCAGGGCACUUGGAGGGGAAGGUGGCCUACUUGCAGGGUGGAGGAAAGGGGAAGAUUGCUUUUAUUUACCCAAAGUUGGGCAGCUAUAUUAACAGUCCCGUAGCACUGCCAUGUCCUGUUAGAUGUUUGUAAAAGGCUGCUGGGCUGUGCACAUGUACAUCUUAGUGUUCUGAGCUCGGCCUCAUUUAACACGGUGUUUCAGAAGCCUGCUCUUCACUUUCCUUUUGAAUAUGUCUUCCUUGAAGAACACAUUUAAAUGAGUUCCCAUCUCAAUCUAAAAGGAGUUUUUUAAAUUGGGGUGGAGUUGCUUUACAGUAUUGUGUUAGUUUCUGCUGUACAAGAAAGGGAAUCAGCUCUAAGUGUACCUGUGCCCUUCCCUCUGGAGCCUCCCUCCCACUCCCAGCCCAGCCCACCCCUCCAGGUCA